GGGGCAGUCUGCCCCACUACAGACCCCGAAAGAUGAGGCACCAAAAAUUAGUGAACACUAUUAGAGAAUCUGGACCUAAAUUAUUUAUGUAAAUGCAAAUUAUAUUUGAGAUUGUAAUGACAUCAGCCAACCACAGAAACAUGAGCUUACACCAGCAUUUGGAAAGUUUUGAAAAGAACAUCCAACUGCAAGAGUGCCAUGGCAACGAAUUGACAUAUAUGAUAAGAAGCUGAAAUAAUUAAAAUACUAACCUGUAGAAGAAGGACACCUCAAUGUUAGUAGGAUGAGGAAAUGGAAAUAAGGAAGAGGGGAGAAACCCCUAUUGAAUAUGCAUGAGUCAUAAUGGUGUCAGCCUAACGUAUUAUAAAAGUUGCAUCCCAGCCUGUGGGCAGUGGAAGAGAGAGAGAGAGCUGUAGCCCUUGGGAGGUGUCAGAAGGAUAGCCACUGGUGAUGAUCAGGAAGGUGACGGUGAUGAGGCAGACAAAGACUAACAUUUCAGGUUGUCCUGCAAGGGAUGGUACAUGUAUGUUUAUCCAUGGCUCAGUGAUCACUGUGCCUAGGAGCGCCAGUCAUGGACCAAGACCCCAUUGUGCCAGGUGCUGUACAAGCAUAGAACAAAAAGACAGUCCCUGCCUCAAGGAGCUUACAAUCUAAGCAUAAGACAAGGGACAACAGAUGGAGACAGACAGAUGGGGGAGUACAAAUAAACAGUGAGACUACAUUGGUCAGCAU